UACGUAGGGCGCAAGCGUUGUCCGGAAUUAUUGGGCGUAAAGAGCUCGUAGGCGGCUUGUCACGUCGGGUGUGAAAGCCCGGGGCUUAACCCCGGGUCUGCAUUCGAUACGGGCUGGCUAGAGUGUGGUAGGGGAGAUCGGAAUUCCUGGUGUAGCGGUGAAAUGCGCAGAUAUCAGGAGGAACACCGGUGGCGAAGGCAGCUCGCUGGGACGGUACUGACGCUGAGGUGCGAAAGCGUGGGGAGCGAACAGG
rnacentral:rRNA from 1 species